rnacentral:rRNA from 1 species
CAAUAAGCGGAGGAAAAGAAACCAACAGGGAUUGCCYUMGUAACGGCKAAGUGAAGCGGCAACAGCUCAAAUUUGAAAUCUGGCGUCUUUGGCGUCCGAGUUGUAAUUUGCAGAGGGCGCUUUGGCAUUGGCAGCGGUCCAAGUUCCUUGGAACAGGACGUCACAGAGGGUGAGAAUCCCGUACGUGGUCGCUAGCCUUUACCGUGUAAAGCCCCUUCGACGAGUCGAGUUGUUUGGGAAUGCAGCUCUAAAUGGGAGGUAAAUUUUCUUCUAAAGCUAAAUACUGGCCAGAGACCGAUAGCGCACAAGUAGAGUGAUCGAAAGAUGAAAAGCACUUUGGAAAGAGAGUUAAAAAGCACGUGAAAUUGUUGAAAGGGAAGCGCUUGCAGCCAGACUUGCCUGUAGUUGCUCAUCCGGGUUUCUACCCGGUGCACUCUUCUAUAGGCAGGCCAGCAUCAGUUUGGGCGGUUGGAUAAAGGUCUCUGUCAUGUACCUCUCUUCGGGGAGAACUUAUAGGGGAGACGACAUGCAACCAGCCUGGACUGAGGUCCGCGCAUCUGCUAGGAUGCUGGCGUAAUGGCUGUAAGCGGCCCGUCUUGAAACACGGACCAAGGAGUCUAACAUCUAUGCGAGUGUUUGGGUGUCAAGCCCGAGCGCGUAAUGAAAGUGAACGGAGGUGGGAACCUUUCGGGGUGCACCAUCGACCGAUCCUGAUGUCUUCGGAUGGAUUUGAGUAAGAGCAUAGCUGUUGGGACCCGAAAGAUGGUGAACUAUGCUUGAAUAGGGUGAAGCCAGAGGAAACUCUGGUGGAGGCUCGCAGCGGUUCUGACGUGCAAAUCGAUCGUCAAAUUUGGGCAUAGGGGCGAAAGACUAAUCGAACUAUCUAGUAGCUGGUUCUGC